UAACCACAUAAAAAGCCGAUCAGCAUCCA
rnacentral:piRNA from 1 species